AUAAAGACUGAGGAGAUCUAGCGGAAGUCAACUCCCUCACCAUGACCUCACUGUGUCCAUCCGAUGUGACCUUCACAUGGAUGGUGUGGCUCUAGAUACAUGAGGAACGUAAGAAAUUCCCUUGGCUCAGUCUUUUCCUCCUCAUUGCAGCAGACGAUAAUGCAAGAUGCUUUGUCCCAACCACGCCUCUCUCUUAAUAUUUCUAAAUACUUCCCUUCUUCUCUUUACUGUUGCAGUUCUUGUUGAGAGCAUUUCGUAAGACUUGUAAAAAUAAUGAAGUAGGUUCAAGUGAACUGGAGUAACAAUGGAGCACCUUGUGGGGAAAAACCCUGUUCGCUGUGAAUUUUCACAUGACCCUCUUCGGUCUCAUGCUGCAGAAUCAGCCAUGCGCUCUGGGGCCCGGCUGGUGUGUGGAGGCUCAGGCCACAGAAGGAAAAGGCAUCUCGUCCGCCUCCCACUCUGUGGGACCCAUUUCCUCCAGUAUUUGAGGAGGAUUGGUUUCUUCACUUCCAGCAGGGUUCACGUGAACUAAGGUGCUGGCUGGGAGAUCUCGGUGCCCACUGCUCCAUCCAUGAAGUCAUCAAGCUGCUGCUCCCCACCCAAGACUUAACACGCUCUGGAAGACGGUCAUCUUAACUGGUUCUAUAGUCAACGUCCAUCUCGUGAAAUGACCUUAUUUGUUAAUACUAGUAAACAGAAAUUUCUGACUUCCUUGUUGAAGGAAUGUUGUCACUGAGUUCCGAAUGCUUACCUUAAAGGGAACCACUUUCAUAUUAUAGAAAUAAAAUAGCCACUCUAAAUACAAA